rnacentral:rRNA from 1 species
UACGGAGGAUGCAAGCGUUAUCCGGAAUGAUUGGGCGUGAAGCGUCCGCAGGUGGCUGUGUAAGUCUGCUGUCAAAGAGCAAAGCUCAACUUUGUAAAGGCAGUGGAAACUACACGGCUAGAGUGCGUUCGGGGCAGAGGGAAUUCCUGGUGUAGCGGUGAAAUGCGUAGAGAUCAGGAAGAACACCGGUGGCGAAGGCGCUCUGCUAGGCCGCAACUGACACUGAGGGACGAAAGCUAGGGGAGCGAAUGGG